CUCUACAGACAUAUCACCCUGAAUGUGCCUGAUCUCAUCUAAUCUUAGAAGCUAAACAGGAUCAGGCUUGGUUAACACUUGUAUGAGA
rnacentral:rRNA from 1 species